rnacentral:rRNA from 1 species
GUGGGGAAUUUUGGACAAUGGGCGCAAGCCUGAUCCAGCCAUGCCGCGUGCGGGAAGAAGGCCUUCGGGUUGUAAACCGCUUUUGUCAGGGAAGAAACGGCCUAGGCUAAUACCUUGGGCUAAUGACGGUACCUGAAGAAUAAGCACCGGCUAACUACGUGCCAGCAGCCGCGGUAAUACGUAGGGUGCAAGCGUUAAUCGGAAUUACUGGGCGUAAAGCGUGCGCAGGCGGUUGUGCAAGACAGAUGUGAAAUCCCCGGGCUCAACCUGGGAACUGCAUUUGUGACUGCACGGCUAGAGUACGGUAGAGGGGGAUGGAAUUCCGCGUGUAGCAGUGAAAUGCGUAGAUAUGCGGAGGAACACCGAUGGCGAAGGCAAUCCCCUGGACCUGUACUGACGCUCAUGCACGAAAGCGUGGGGAGCAAACAGG